rnacentral:misc_RNA from 1 species
GAUGUCAGAAUAUUAUCAUUUGUGAUGCUAGAAUUGACCUGAUGAGUAAACAUUUCUGAAUUCUUGGAGUUUAAAAGGAGAUUGUUGGUGUUUGAAUUUAUGGACAAGCCAAUGUUUGAACCAUAAUUCAAUUUCUCAAAGGAGAGGUAACUUGUCAACUGAUCAAGAGGCUUAUUGCAGCUAGCGGUGGAGGUUUCGUGUGUGGUAACAAACCUUUCAAGAAAGAAUUUGUGUGUUAGUGGCGCUGCAGAAGUAGUCGUAUUACUAGGAUAGUUGUCCAUAGUCAUUGUCACUAAAGAUGACUUUGAUUUAAUUCUGUAGUUGGAAUCCUCAAUAAUAUUCAG